UAUUCCUGCCAAGGGAGAAGGAUCCUCUGCUACCACCCCAAAGUCACGAAAGGACUGGACAGGCUUGGGACCUUCUACAAACUACAUAUGAAGGCAACAAAAAGAGGAUGAGCUUGUGGUAUAUGAGCGUUCUGGACUCGUGGGAGGGCGUCCAGGCUUGGGUCAUGCCCAAGAAGCCGCGGGUCGAGUUUUGGGUCCGGCAGUUGGAUAAUUGGAACUUUGUACUCUCUGAAAGCCCGACAUUUUGGAGAAGAGAACGAGAGAGAGAGAGAGAGAGAGAGAGAGAGAGAGAGGGAGAGAGGGAAACACAGACCCAAUAAGAAAAUCUGACUUUUGAGGGUAUUUUGGGAAGUGUAAAAAGACUUGGGAUGAAAUAUUAUUAAAAAAAAUAAAAUGGGG